AGUAAAGUGGCGUACGGGUGAGUAACACGUGGAUGAUCUACCUCUUAGUGGGGAAUAACUCUGGGAAACCGGAGCUAAUACCGCAUAAGCCUGGAAAGGGAAAGUCGCAAGACGCUGAGAGAGGAGUCCGCGGCCGAUUAGCUAGUUGGCAGGGUAAAAGCCUACCAAGGCAACGAUCGGUAGCCGGCCUGAGAGGGCACACGGCCACACUGGCACUGAAACACGGGCCAG
rnacentral:rRNA from 1 species